AUUUCUCUCUCUCUCUCUCCCCACCUCCCGUUUCUUCUUUUUCAUUUUGCAAAAAUUGGGGGUUGGGAGAGAGAGAGAGAGAAAG